UACGUAGGGGGCAAGCGUUGUCCGGAUUUAUUGGGCGUAAAGAGCGUGUAGGCGGCUAGGUAGGUCCGUUGUGAAAACUCGAGGCUCAACCUCGAGACGCCGAUGGAAACCAUCUGGCUAGAGUCCGGAAGAGGAGAGUGGAAUUCCUGGUGUAGCGGUGAAAUGCGUAGAUAUCAGGAGGAACACCGGCGGCGAAGGCAGGUCACUGGGCCGCAACUGACGCUGAGGAGCGAAAGCAUGGGGAGCGAACAGG
rnacentral:rRNA from 1 species